AAGACAAAUGCUGCAGUUUAAUACUGUUGAGGAAAGUCCAUGCUCACACUAUCUGUGAUGAUAGUAAGUGUUCGUGCUAGGCGAAUAAAUAAGCCUAGGUAGAUUUAUUCUAACGGCAUCGAAUUUAACCUUAUGGGUUAUUAGUAGAUAUAAAAGUGCCACAGUGACGAAUCAUUUAAGUAAUUAAAUGGGUGAAACGAGGUAAACCCCACGAGUGAGAAAUCCAAAAUUGGUAGGAGAGUCCUUACGAACGAAUGAUAAGGGAGUAAGGGAGUUAGUUUACUAACUAGAUAAAUAUUUGUCCGUAAUUAUUACGACAGAACAUGGCUUAC
rnacentral:RNase_P_RNA from 1 species